AUUGAACGCUGGCGGCAGGCCUAACACAUGCAAGUCGAGCGAGCGGCGGACGGGUGAGUAAUGUCUGGGAAACUGCCUGAUGGAGGGGGAUAACUACUGGAAACGGUAGCUAAUACCGCAUCCCAUCGGAUGUGCCCAGAUGGGAUUAGCUAGUAGGUGGGGGAACGGCUCACCUAGGCGACGAUACCUAGCUGGUCUGAGAGGAUGACCAGCCACACUGGAACUGAGACACGGUCCAGACUCCUACGGGAGGCAGCAGGUGGGAAUAUUGCACAAUGGUCGCAAGCCUGAUGCAGCCAUGCCGCGUGUAUGAAGAAGGCCUUCGGGUUGUAAAGUACUUUCAGCGGUGAGGCGUUACCCGCAGAAGAAGCACCGGCUAACUCCGUGCCAGCAGCCGCGGUAAUAC
rnacentral:rRNA from 1 species